UCUCUGUAGAAUGAAAGUCCAGCAUCUCAACUGUUCCAGAGCCAGCUGUGGGCAUGGGGGGAGUAUGGAGAAGAAUUGAAUACUGCAGGACGCUUAUCCCAUCACUUCUUUAUACAGGGCUUAAUGUGGGAUUUCUAAGCAGGAAGACUGUAAGAAUACUAGUAGAUCAGUCAGUGGAGCAGAGUGUUGUGAACUCCAGUGCAAAGAUCCACAAGCUGCAAAUCUAUAGCAAAGGGAAGACUGUGCACAGAAUCAUGUCAGCAACUAAGUGGAGGAGGAAGUACUUUCUAUGAACAUGGAGAGGAAUUAUGGACAAGCACACUUUGUUUGGAGCACAGGCACUGUACUGCUGAUCUUUGUUGAGACAAACAUCACUUACUGCUAUGAGUGCUGAACCUGACACCAGCAACUUUGACUGCAAAGGUUUGUGAAAUUUCCAAACUUCUCAUAGAAGUUGGUGCAGAAGUUUACCCUAGGUUACCACAAACCAUAGGAGUGGUGAACUUCAGCAGAAAAGUAAAGAAUACAGAUGGGACUGUCUGCCUUGCUUAUACUGUUGCAGCUAAUUUUGACAGAGGCUGUGAACCAGAGCACGAAGUCUGAAAAAAGUACCAGAGGUUUGGAGUAUCUUCUUUGGACUUUAGUGCUUGUAUGAAUCAAGCCUUCAGACUGGACACGUCCUGGACAUGACAUGGCCUGCAUGUGAAGGCAGUAGGGGAAAUGGAAAGCAAAUGGGAAUCUGGAGAAAGAGGUCCAAUUUUUCCUCAGUGAUGCUGGAGUAACCCAAAAUGGAGGAUCCUUCGUGUCCAAAUGCAUGAGAGAGACAGUGACUGCUGCCUGGCUGUGCUUGCUCUGUCUGGUAGUGACUGGAGCAUGCUGCAUCCUCCAGUUGCCUUCUGCCCACGGUAAAGGUUUUUAGAGCUUCUCACAUCGAGUACAAGCAACACUGUAUUAAAUCAGUUUCCUGUCAGCUGGCACAAGGCCUUGAAGUGGUUUGGGAGGGGGAAUGCAAACACUGCAUGCCUGCUUCCAGCCUCUGCCCAAAAUGCACUCAAUCCCACCAGUGCUACCAUUGGGUUUGUUUCUGGGCUACAACCAAGUGUUUAGACAGGGCUACAGGUUACACAGACGUGCAGUUUCUUUGCAUCGGCCCAGGCACAGCAAUGCCCUUAGUUUAGGUCCUCAGUUCCUCAGUGGGAAACAUCUGAAGCCUGGUCACAUGCAAAUAAAUAUUCCCAGUGGAUAAGAGGGAGGAAAAAGAGAGAGAGAGGGAAGAGCUAAGGCAAAGGCUUGACUGACUGCAAAUGGGAGAAGUGAACAGGCACUGAGUUGCAAAGUCUGGAUUUUUCUAGCAAUCUUGUGGU